rnacentral:ncRNA from 1 species
CAAAGGCAUGGUCCCGACCUUAUUAUCAGCCCUAACUCAACUUACACAUGCAAGUCUCCGCAACCCAGUGAAUAUGCCCUCAAUCCCCCCACCCGGGGACGAGGAGCGGGCAUCAGGCACAAACAUUAGCCCAAGACGCCUAGCCAAGCCACACCCCCAAGGGAAUUCAGCAGUGAUAAACAUUAAGCCAUAAGUGAAAACUUGACUCAGUUAGCGUUAAGAGGGCCGGUAAAACUCGUGCCAGCCACCGCGGUUAGACGAGAGGCCCUAGUUGAUAUUAUAACGGCGUAAAGGGUGGUUAAGGAUAAACAAAAAUAAAGUCAAAUGGCCCCUUGGCCGUCAUACGCUUCUAGGAGUCCGAAGCCCUAAUACGAAAGUAACUUUAAUAAACCUACCUGACCCCACGAAAGCUGAGAAACAAACUGGGAUUAGAUACCCCACUAUGCUCAGCCGUAAACUUAGACAUCCAGCUACAAUAGAUGUCCGCCAGGGUACUACGAGCAUUAGCUUAAAACCCAAAGGACCUGACGGUGUCUCAGACCCCCCUAGAGGAGCCUGUUCUAGAACCGAUAACCCCCGUUCAACCUCACCACUUCUAGCCACCCCAGCCUAUAUACCGCCGUCGUCAGCUUACCCUGUGAAGGUAAUAAAAGUAAGCAAAAUGGGCACAACCCAAAACGUCAGGUCGAGGUGUAGCGCAUGAAGUGGGAAGAAAUGGGCUACAUUUUCUAAUAUAGAAUAUUACGAACAUGCACCAUGAAACAAUGCUUGAAGGAGGAUUUAGUAGUAAAAGGGAAAUAGAGUGUCCCUUUGAACCCGGCUCUGAGACGCGUACACACCGCCCGUCACUCUCCCCUGUCAAAACGCACCAAAAAUACAUAAUACAACAGCACUGACAAGGGGAGGCAAGUCGUAACACGGUAAGUGUACCGGAAGGUGCACUUGGAUCAAACC